CCUACGGGAGGCAGCAGUGGGGAAUAUUGCACAAUGGGGGAAACCCUGAUGCAGCGACGCCGCGUGAGCGAUGAAGUAUUUCGGUAUGUAAAGCUCUAUCAGCAGGGAAGAAAAUGACGGUACCUGACUAAGAAGCCCCGGCUAACUACGUGCCAGCAGCCGCGGUAAUACGUAGGGGGCAAGCGUUAUCCGGAUUUACUGGGUGUAAAGGGAGCGUAGACGGGGGUGCAAGCCAGAUGUGAAAGCCUGGGGCUCAACCCCGGGACUGCAUUUGGAACUGUGCUGCUAGAGUGUCGGAGAGGCAGGCGGAAUUCCGAGUGUAGCGGUGAAAUGCGUAGAUAUUAGGAGGAACACCAGUGGCGAAGGCGGCCUGCUGGACGAUGACUGACGCUGAUGCACGAAAGCGUGGGGAUCAAACAGGAUUAGAUACCCCUGUAGUC
rnacentral:rRNA from 1 species